rnacentral:rRNA from 1 species
UACGUAGGUGCGAGCGUUGUCCGGAAUUAUUGGGCGUAAAGAGCUUGUAGGCGGUUUGUCGCGUCUGCUGUGAAAAUCCGGGGCUCAACCCCGGACUUGCAGUGGGUACGGGCAGACUAGAGUGUGGUGGGGGAGACUGGAAUUCCUGGUGUAGCGGUGAAAUGCGCAGAUAUCAGGAGGAACACCGAUGGCGAAGGCAGGUCUCUGGGCCACUACUGACGCUGAGAAGCGAAAGCAUGGGGAGCGAACAGGAUUAGAUA